rnacentral:rRNA from 1 species
GACGAACGCUGGCGGCGUGCCUAAUACAUGCAAGUAGGACGCAGUUGCGAACGGGUGAUUAACGCGUAGGUAACUACCUAUUAGAGGGGGAUAACUAUUGGAAACGAUAGCUAAUACCGCAUACUAGUAGAUGGACCUACGUUGUAUUAGCUAGUAGGUAGGGUAAUGGCCUACCUAGGCAACGAUACAUAGCCGAACUGGGAGGGGGAUCGGGCAACCCGGGACUGAGACAAGGCCCAGAAUCCGUCGGGGGGCAGCAGUAGGGGAACUUUGGCAAUGGGGGGAACCCUGACCGAGCAAAGCCGCGUGAGUGAAGAAAGUUUUCGGGUCGUAAAGCUCUUUUGUUAAGGAAGCGGUACUUAACCAGAAAGGGACGGCUAACUACGUGCCAGCAGCCGCGGUAAUUC